UCUGCGAAAUGAAUGGCCAGUCUUCAAUUUGCCGAGUUCGUUUGAAGUAAAUUCAAAGUUCAAAAUGAAAUUAUUAUACGCGCUUUUAUUGAUUGCAUCGACCAUACUAGCUUGCCGAGCUUACGGUAUGUGCAAUUACAACGAUUGCAGUUACCUUUGUGUAUAUAAAAAAUGUGUGGGAAGGCGCUGUGUAUGCGAUCAACUAGCUACAAUAACUCAUCUUCAGAGUGAUUUUACAAAAGAUAUCAUUAAUUCGCACUUCGGUUAAUUGGGGAUUUACGAGAUAAAUGAGUUUUAUUGCAUCGAUUGAAACGGAAUAAGUAGUGCUAUAUAUUAAUCUUGUGCGUCUGAAUUAAUAUAACUAGAAAUUUAUGUAUAUGUAUUCGUCAAUAAAAAUUCUUAAAACGAAA